AGAGUUUGAUCCUGGCUCAGAACGAACGCUGGCGGCGCGUUUUAAGCAUGCAAGUCGAGCGGCAAGGGUAGCAAUACCCCUAGAGCGGCGGACGGGUGAGUAACACGUGGACAACCUGCCCUUAGGCGAGGGAUAGCCCAGGGAAACCUGGAUUAAUACCUCAUAAGACCACUGAUAGGAGUAUGAGUGGGGAAAGGUGCUACGGCGCCGCCUGAGGAUGGAUCUGCGUCCCAUUAGCUAGAUGGCAGGGUAAAGGCCUACCAUGGCGACGAUGGGUAGCCGGCCUGAGAGGGUGAACGGCCACACUGGAACUGAGACACGGUCCAGACUCCUACGGGAGGCAGCAGCUAAGAAUCUUCCGCAAUGGGCGAAAGCCUGACGGAGCGACGCCGCGUGAACGAAGAAGGCCGUGAGGUUGUAAAGUUCUUUUCGGGAGGGGGAACGAGGCUGCCAGGCAAUGGGCGUCCGAUGACGUGAAUCCCGGAAUAAGCCCCGGCUAACUACGUGCCAGCAGCCGCGGUAACACGUAGGGGGCGAGCGUUGUUCGGAAUCAUUGGGCGUAAAGGGCGCGCAGGCGGCGUAUAAAGUCUGGCGUGAAAGUCCCCGGCUCAACCGGGGGAUAGCGUUGGAAACUGGUAUGCUUGAGUACGAGAGGGGAUGGCGGAAUUCCAGGUGUAGGGGUGAAAUCUGUAGAUAUCUGGAGGAACACCAACGGCGAAGGCAGCCAUCUGGUUCAGUACUGACGCUGAGGCGCGAAGGUGCGGGGAGCAAACAGGUUUAGAUACCCUGGUAGUCCGCACAGUAAACGAUGUGCACCAGGUGUCGGGCAACAGUUGUUCGGUACCGAAGCAAACGCGAUAAGUGCACCGCCUGGGGAGUAUGCCCGCAAGGGUGAAACUCAAAGGAAUUGACGGGGGCCCGCACAAGCGGUGGAGCAU
rnacentral:rRNA from 1 species